rnacentral:rRNA from 1 species
CUGAACUUAAGCAUAUCAAUAAGCGGAGGAAAAGAAACUAACAAGGAUUCCCCUAGUAACUGCGAGUGAAGCGGGAAAAGCUCAAAUUUAAAAUCUGGCGGCCUUUGGUCGUCCGAGUUGUAGUCUGGAGAAGCGUCUUCCGCGUUGGACCGUGUACAAGUCUCUUGGAACAGAGCGUCAUAGAGGGUGAGAAUCCCGUCUUUGACACGGACUACCAAUGCUUUGUGAUGCGCUCUCAAAGAGUCGCGUUGUUUGGGAAUGCAGCGCAAAAUGGGAGGUGAAUUCCUUCUAAAGCUAAAUAUUGGCGAGAGACCGAUAGCGAACAAGUACCGUGAGGGAAAGAUGAAAAGCACUUUGGAAAGAGAGUUAAACAGUACGUGAAAUUGCUAAAAGGGAAACGCUUGAAGUCAGUCGCGUCGUCCGGAACUCAGCCUUGCUUCGGCUUGGUGCACUUUCCGGUUGACGGGCCAGCAUCGAUUUUGACCGCUGGAAAAGGGCUGGAGGAAUGUGGCACCUUCGGGUGUGUUAUAGCCUUCAGUCGCAUACAGCGGUUGGGAUCGAGGAACGCAGCGCGCCUUAUGGCUGGGGUUCGCCCACAUUCGCGCUUAGGAUGCUGGCAUAAUGGCUUUAAACGACCCGUCUUGAAACACGGACCAAGGAGUCUAACAUGCCUGCGAGUGUUUGGGUGGAAAACCCGAGCGCGUAAUGAAAGUGAAAGUUGAGACCUCUGUCGUGGAGGGCAUCGACGCCCGGACCUGACGUUUUCUGAAGGAUCCGCGGUAGAGCAUGUAUGUUGGGACCCGAAAGAUGGUGAACUAUGCCUGAAUAGGGUGAAGCCAGAGG